rnacentral:lncRNA from 1 species
UGCCUAAGCUUGAGAUUAAUUUUUUAUCUCCUCUUGUUCGAUAGUCUUAAACGAUACAACACAACAGCAAGAAUCAGUGAUGAGGAAGAACGGAAAUGUUACAGGGAGAAACAUCAAUUUGAGCUUUAAAAUGUGGGUGGAAUCCUUCUUCGGUCAUCCCUGUGUACCAGUAAGAGAGCUGAGAUCAUCACAAAAGCUAAUAUGAAGUCGAACCCUCGACAAAGAAGGCUGUUUCUUAAUUGCGGAGCCCGUACUUUAUUUCCUCUUUCCUGUUGCAAUAGUUAGCAGCUCGAAGCUCCGAAUACGAUCUUCACAACCGGCUCUUGUGGCUGUAGC